AUGUAGUGUGACAUGCCCGUUGCGUUUUACUCUGAUGUUAAAUUAAUUAUUAUUUAAUUACUUUUGGGUAACGGGGUGUUACACAUA
rnacentral:pre_miRNA from 1 species